AUCAGCGCUGGGCUGCUCCGCUCUCAACCCACUGAGCUCGUCUCAUUUGCUGCUUCCUCCAGUGGGCGGAGUAGCAGCUCUGCGUGGCCGCACAGCGCUGCUCUCAGCUCGGCUCCGUGUUGUUGCCGUUACCUCUCCACUCAUGCGGACCCCGCUGAGGCUCAUGGACUAACCGGAGCCCUGUGUGCUGCUGCUGCUGCUGCUGCUUCUGGUGGACUGUUUCCGACUCGACCAUGGCUGCUAAAGACGACCUCUACAGCAAAAUCCUCCCCCGGCGGCUCAGGCAGAACCGAGCGGGCUCCAUGAAAUGCGGCUCCAGCCUGGACGUGCUGUUAUCCAUGGGCUUCCCCAGACCAAGGGCACUCAAAGCUCUGUGUCAA